GCACAUCCCUCCUCACCCAGGUCUCAUUCCUUUCCCUCCUCAGCUUCCUCUUUUGUGUAGUGGUUUGAGUUCAUUUGCUUGGAUACUUUUCACUACCAAGUUCAAGUCGGCCAGUAAGCUGAAUGUUGCCAGAAGAGGAAAAGAAAACUAAAACAUCAGGGAAAGCCUGGAGAAAGUUGGUGGAGAUAGUACAAACUCUAAAGAAAAAAGCAGAUUUGUGCCUACUUGGACAACUUGCACUAAGAGAUAAGCAAGCAAAGGCAACUUAAAGCCGUAAACCAUCUUCCCAUUAUCGUGAGAUUCACCACAUCCAGGAGCUUGUGUGUUUGCCUCAUCUUCAAGGAGACCCAGCAGGCUUGGAAAAUUGCCUGAUAAAUAUACCGUAUCGCCCUGCACAGGUUCUAACACAGCCCUGGUCAUGUCAGCAUUUUGAUGCUUCCUGGGGCCCUUCUCUUUCUCCUUAACACUUUCAGAAGGCUGCAUGACUCAGAUCUAUUAGCCACCCCCCCUCCACCUACCCCCAAAUUGUGAAGGGCUGGGGAGAGUGAAGACAGGGCACUGAUCUUGGAGGAAACUCAUACCCCAUGCUGUAUUCCCUCGGAGACCGGAGAAGUCCGAGUCUCCACAGUGAAAGCAGGGGUGAUGACCCUUUCAGAUGCCGUCUGUGGAGACGAAGAGGUCACACCCUGUAGAGUAGGGGGCACUCAUCCAAAGGACCCUUGCUGCCAACCCAUCUCUUUCCUUGAAGAGACUUUUUAACUUUUAUCUGUGACACUCUCAGGCACCCUG
rnacentral:lncRNA from 1 species